GAAGGCAUUCGCAUCCGGUGGUGCGGCUGGGCUUCAAACCCAGUUGGGGGCGCCAGCCGCUCCCGGGCAGGUUCGACUCCUGCUGCUUUCC
rnacentral:tRNA from 1 species